rnacentral:rRNA from 1 species
UACGUAGGGGGCAAGCGUUGUCCGGAUUUAUUGGGCGUAAAGAGCGUGUAGGCGGCCAGGUAGGUCGGCUGUGAAAACUCGAGGCUCAACCUCGAGCUGUCGGCCGAAACCAUCUGGCUAGAGUCCGGAAGAGGAGAAUGGAAUUCCCGGUGUAGCGGUGAAAUGCGCAGAUAUCGGGAAGAACACCCGUGGCGAAGGCGGUUCUCUGGGACGGUACUGACGCUGAGACGCGAAAGCGUGGGGAGCGAACAGG